CGGGUUAUAUUUUAAUUAAACUUCGGCUAACGCCAAUCCUACAGUGAAAACAGGCCCUGGAUUUAAAACUGUUAUCAACGCACCAAGGGCAUGUUCAUAUGAGCCUGGUUGGUCUGUGUUCAUGUGCUUGUGCUUUAUGUCAACAUGGCGUCUUAAACAAACUGCACUUUGUACUACGACUUAAUAGUGUCUGCUUAUAUGUAGUAAUGUUUAUUUUUUCUAUGUAUUUUUCAACUAUGUCGUUCAAUAGUAUAUCAUAAGCCAAAGUCCGCACUGAAAAUGUCUUCUUUUUUUCCCCUUUUUUUUU